GAUUCACCGACUUGUUGAACCCAUCUCACUACCCUCGCUGCAAUGCCACCUAAUCUCAAGCCUCAAAGCCUGCGAUAGAUGAAAAUAAAAAAUCAGCUUUGUGAUUUUUCUGGAAUUAAACUUAGGAAAUCAGGGGCAAAAACCCAAAAAAAA